rnacentral:piRNA from 1 species
AGGAGGCUGUGGGAGAGGAAAAC